AGGCGUGAGCCACCGUGCCCGGCCGUAAUGUGUGGUCUUUUGCAUGUGGCUUCUUUCACUCGUCCUAAUGUUUUGAGGUUCAUCUACAUUGUAGCAUUUAUCCAUAAUUUGUUUCCGUUAAUUGCUGAAUAGUAUUCCAUUGUAUGGAUAUACCACGUUUUGUUUAUCUGUUCAUCAGCUUAUGGACAUUUGGAUUAUUUCUACUUUUUUGGCUAUUAUUAAUAAUGCUACUGUGAACACUCACAUACAGCUGAGUGGACAUGUGUUUUCAUUUCUCCUGGUAGAUACCUAGGAAUGAAACUGCUAUGUCAUGCAAUAAGUUUCUGUUUAACUUUCUUAAGAUACUGCCACACUGUUUUCCAAAUGGCAGCUUCAUUUUACAUUUCCCCAGUAAUUUAGGUGCUUCUGAUCUCCACAUCCUCACCAACAUUUGCUGUUGUCUGACCUCCUGAACGUGAAGUGGUAUCUCAUUAUGGUUGUAGUUUGUAUUUCUCUAAGGAUGUUUUGAAAUGGGGAACUGUGCGUCUUCCAACUUUGUUCUUUUUCAAGAUUGUUUUGGCUUUGUUUCCUUUGCAUUUCCGUAUACAUUUUCAUAUCACCUUGUCGAUUUCUACCCGCACCCCAUCCCUCCCCGAAAGUCUGCUGAAUAAGGGUGUUGAGCAUCUUUUCAUUUGUAAUUAGCCAUAUUCUUGGAUGAAAUACUAUUAAAAUCUUCUUCCCACUUUUUAAGUGGGUUGUUUAUCUUCUAAUAGACUUGUAAGAAUUCUGUAUAUAUUCUGUAUAUAAGUCCAUUAUCCUGGGUAUAUGAUUUGCAAAUAUUUUCUCCCAGUCAGUGGCUUGACUUUUCAUAUCCGUAAUGCUGACUUUUGAAGCACAAAAGGUUUUAAUUUUGUUGAAGUCCAGUUUAUCAGUUUUUUUUUUAUGGAUCAUACUUUUGUUGUUAUAUCUAAGAACUCUUUGCCUAACCUAAGGUCACAGAGACUUUCUUCUAAGAAGUUUUAUAAUUUUAACUCUUACAUUCAUCUAUGUGGCUGAGGUACUUUUUUGUGUAUGGUAUGAAAUAAGGGUCUAGUUCUGUGUUCCUGCAUGUGGAUAUCCAGUUACCCCAUCACUGUUUAUCGAAAAGACUAUUCUUUCCCCUUGAAAUGCAUUGCCACUUUUGUCAAAAAUCAUAGACAAUAAAUACACAGGCUUAUUUCUGGACUUUCAUUUCUAUUCCUUUGAUCUAUAUGUCUAUCCUUAUGUCAGUACCAGGCUGUCUUGAUUACUAUAGCUUUGUAGGAUGUUUUGAAAUAGGGAACUGUGCGUCUCCCAAUUUUGUUCUUUUUCAAGAUUGUUUUGGCUUUGUGUCCUUUGCAUUUCCAUAUACAUUUUAGGAUCAUCUUGUCAAUUUCUACCCCCCCCCCAAAAAAAAAAAAGUCUGCUGAGAUUUUCAUAGGGAUUACAUUUAACCCACAGGUCAAUUUGGGCAGAAUUGCCUUUUUAACAAUAUUGAGUCUUCUCACCCUUGAAGACAGAAUAUCUCUUCGUUUAUUUAGAUCUUUAAUUUCUCUCAACAAUGUAUUAUAGUUUUUGGUGUGCAAGUGUUGCACUUCUUUUGUGUUAUUGUGAAUAAAAUUUUUAAAAUUUCUUUUUCCAAUUGUUUAUUGCUAGUAUAUAAAAACAUUGAUUUUCAUAUUGGUCUUCUAUCGUAUGACAGCCCAAUUUUUUUAUUAGUUUUAAUAGCUGUUUUGUAAAUUCCUUUAUCAGAUUUUUCCGUGUACAGGAUCAUGGCAUCUUGGAAUAGAGACAGUUUUGCUUCUUUCUUGUCCAUAUGGGAUGACUUUUCUUUUUCUUGCCUGAUACAGAAUUUUAGGAAUUAAAACUCAUCCAAAGUCAUGCCAAAGAUCAGUGAUUAUACUUAUGAUAUCAAUGAGGAGACAAAAGAGGCAACUUUUGGAAUUUUAAAUGAGCCUUACAGAGGCAAAGGGAAGAAUGGGUGACUGCAUUAGCAAGGAAGUAAAAAUACCACUCUACAGCCAGACAUGGUGGCUCUCACCUGUAAUCCCAAAGCUUUGGGGCACCAAAGCAGGAGAAUCACUUGAAACCAGGAGUUCAAGGUUACAGUGAGCUAUGAUCAUGCCAUUGCAUUUCAGCCUGGGCAACAGAGUAAGAUCCUAUCUCUUAAAAAAUUUUUUAAAAAGCCACUUCGCAUUGACUCAGGUUUCACAGUGCUCCUCUUAGUGGGUGGUUAUUUCAGCAACCUGACCAGAACAGACAAGAUAAGCCCUGAAACAACACGAAGGAGCCCUGAGUAGGAAAAGGUAGACACCACACACUCUCCAGGCUCAUUUAUGUAACCCACUGGAAGAUCUCUGGUCUAUACAGAACCUCAUCUUCAUGUCUACCUAUUGUUUUAAAAAGCAUUGGCACUUGGUUUUCUAGCUUGUUGAUGGUUUUGUUUUGUUUUUGCAGCUAUACUUUAGGAAAGGUGUUAGAGAAGAGACGAAGUAGGACUUGAACAUAAAGGAUGCCAAAAAGUGAAAGGACAGUAGCUGAUAGUGAGGGGGCAUAUUGGAAAUGCAUUUAAAUAUCCCAUGUAUAUUUCCUGGACACCUACAGGGACAAAUCUUAUGCUCAAGAAUUUAAAAGCACCACUGGUAGGUCAGUGGAAGGCAACUCCCCAGACUUGAUAAGGUCUGAGGACAUUGGCUGAGCAAGCCAAGACUCCAGUGACGCCAUCCAUUUCUUUUGUGGCUGAUGAAUCAGAUUCAAGUACAAUGCUUUAUAAUUAUCCCUAUGAAAUUCUAGCAUGUUAGUGUCGACCCAUUAUUCUAGUCCUUCGGCACCUCUUUGGAUUCUGAUUCUGGUUUUAUGAGUUGAAGAUUAAUAACUAAGCUUUGAAGGAUGGGGGGAUUGCCAAAAAAAAUAAGCUGAACAGUGCUUUUUUUGUGAUAAUCCUGUGUCCUCAAAGAAGUUAAGCCCCAUUUGCUGCAGAAAGAACUCAUUAGCUCCUGUAGCUUCUAAGGAGGAUCCUCAUCAAAGAAUCUUUUUUAAAAUAAGUAUGUAAUAAUAAAAUAAAACCCACCAUCUAGCCAGGCUUCUUGCUAUUGGAGUGGGAAUUUACAGAUAAACUAGGGAGGAGGCUACACUGAUGCAUGUGGUAAUGGGUUAGAGUUAAAAAUAUCAGUAUGAGCUCAUGUUUAGCUUAACAUAGAUACAAAUAGUCACAUAUAGAAAUCUUUACAGAUCUGUGCAUAUAAAAGGGUUAGUACCCAUAUGUAUUUCUGUGCCCUGACAACUGAGAUGGCCUGAAAGAAACGGACACCCCAGUGUCAACAAGCACACCUUCAUCUAGAUCUUGGUUCCUAUUACCAUUCUCCAAUAAAAAGAACUAGGACUCCUGAGUGAAAUGGUUGCUUCUGGAACUCAGGCAGGAAUAUACAAGAUGAACCUGGAGUAUGUUAUGGUGCCAGAAAGUAAGGAAGUCCUAAAACAAAAAACAAAACUCACACUGAUAGGGGCACAUCAAAGAAACACAGAGGCCAACUGAAAGAGCUAAUGGCCACUCCUGGAUAAUUAGAGCAAAACAAUAAGGAAGCAUCGGAUUAUAACCCAAAGUAUAAAAUAAAUAUCCAUGACUCCAUACUGAUAGAAAUAAAUAAAUGGAGGAGAAGGAACAAACCUCCCACACAGAAGAAUUCCAAGUAAUUUACACAGAUACCUCACCCUCAAGCAGGGGAAGCAUAAUGCCCCACUCCCUCAAUGUGAGUUCCAGGUAGUGGCUCCUUCCCAAAGAGUAGUAGGGGAGGGGGAGGGGAGUCCAUUGACAGUGGAGAGACCUUCAACCUGGUGACCAAGGACAAUAUCAGUAGUCACAAAUCACAUUAAUAGAACAGACCAUUGAUACAAUGUGAAAACAAUGGCAUUUCACCUCUGUAGUCUUCCUCCCAAAAACCUCUCAACCCAGUCUUAAUCAUGAGAAAAGCAUCAGACAAGUUUCAGUAGGGGGGCAUUCCUAUAGAAUAGCUCAAUAUUCCUAAAAAAUGUCAAGGUCACCAAAAACAAGGAAAUUUGAAGAAACUGCCAAAAGAACCCUAGGAAACAUGACAACUAAAUGUAAUGGGCCACCCUAGAUGGGAUCCUGGGACAGAGCAAAGAUACUAAGUACAAAUUAAGGAAAUCUAAAUAAACUAUGGACUGAAGUUAGUAGUGCUAUGUUAGUAUUGGUUCAUUACUUCUAACACACAUGACAUACUAAUGUAAGAUUUAGUAAUAGGGGACACUGGAUAUGAAGUAUAUGGGAAUGCUCUUUGCUAUCUUCUCAAUUUCUCUGGAAGUCUAAAAUUGUUCUUAAAAAGAAAGCCUAUUUAAAGGGAAAACCACCAUCACUACCAAUUUUGAUAAACUUGAAGGGUUAGCAUCAAUUAUCUGGAAAAUUUAUUUGUGAGAAAACCUUAUUCCUUUAUGAUCAUUGAUAAGUGAAGCAUUGCUGAAUUAUCUCUGCCUCUCUGAGCAAGUUAAUACUAUAUUUUUAAGAGAAGAGGAGAAGAGAGGGGAGGGAGUAGGGAAAAGAGUAUGUGUAUCUUUGUGUGUGUAUGUGCGUGUGCAUGUGCGUGUGUGUUUAAACAAGAGAAAAAGUGAAUUCUAAAUUGUUAAAACCUUGGAGUGGAACUUAAUCUAAUUUAUACGCAGUUCCACUAGAGAUGUGCAAGGAUUUUUUUGUUGUUGUUAAAGAGAAAAACUAGUUUCAAGCAUUAUUAAGCUUUUUUCCCUCCCAGAAGCUAAGAAAACCAUCUGUGAGAACCUGUUUGCAUGUUUGUUUUCUACAAUAAAAUGCAAAAUACUUCUUCCUGUUAGCGGAUUAUACCAUAUGUCUCUCCCUGUAACAAAAUCAGCAUGUUUAUUAAUGAACCCAAUCAGAGGCAAAGAUUUAGAAAGAUUUAAGGAACUGAAUUUUCCAUUCAAUAUUUCAGCAAAAGAAACUUCUGGUUAGACAUCGUUGUUGUGCUUGGAAAAUAGAAGGUUUGUUUUUGCUUUGAACUCAAUUUACUUGGCAGGGGACAGAGAGCAGGAAGAGAGGCCUUUGAAAAUUUUCGUAAAAAAGGUCUGCAUUUAGAAAUGGCCCUUCCUGCCUAAUGAUUCCCCUACGGAUUUAGACCUACAGUUUAUAUGUGACUAAUAUUUAAUUUGAUCAGUUACAUUUUUCCAGACAGACUAAUUAAAGUGCUUGAUGGCCCAGAUCCCCCAAAUCUGAAGCAGUAACAGGCCUGUGGGCUUCCUGGAGUAACAGGAAGUGAAUGAAGUAGUUUCAGCCAUAUUGUCAAAGCAACCCCCAUGGUACUCAUAAUGGAAACAUGUGAAUUUUCCAGCACAAACACUUUCCUCACAGCCCUGUUGACCAUCUGAAUAAUCAAAUAGAUUGGUAGCACUAGGUAUAGCAUAGUGUAUUAGAAAGAAAUAUGUCCAGCCAGACCCAGCACUGCAGUUAAAGUACUGGUGCUGUCACGAGCCAGCAGAAGGCCUGGAGCAAAUGACGUACUCUCUCUAGACCCCAGCUUACUCCUCUGACAAAUGAGGAUAUCAGCUCUGCUGUUCUCUUGUUUCUGACUUGUAGAAGAAUGGACUUGUCAGCAGAGACCGUAAGCAGUGGAAAUCCCAAAAGCCAGACAGACCCUGUGCGUAUUUUAGGGGAUACAUUCUGUUCUGGUCAUUCAGCCUUCACCCAAGCCAUCUUUUUUUCUAUUUGGUGGCAUAGACACAGCCCAGCCAACCUAAUUCUCAUUUUAUUGCAUUCAUUGUUCAUGUGCCACAGUUUUUUAGAAAUCUUACAAGAAAAUGAAGCACCUAUUACCAGGACACCACUGCAAGGGGGAAAAUGACACUUGGGCACCUGGAAGGACAAAGACAGGCAGUGGAGGCAUCAUGGGGUUGGAUUCGAGUAACCCUCUGCCUUCUUCCUGGGGUCUGUUGGCAGUGUUUUUGUGCUGUGGUCAUGAUACACACAGGUCUCACAAGGCAGGCAGCCAAGUGUUGACUCUGUCUUUGUAGGCAAUACAGAAAACUGUCUACUUGUUCCAGUGAGCUAAAUCAAGUGAGAACAGGAAAGAGGUUUGUGCAACUUUGGCAACUAUAGCAGGAACCACUUUAAAUGGGACAGGGCAAGUAAUGCUAAAUAUUUGCAAGGUGAUUUUUUUUUUUUUAAGACUUUAAAGGUUGUAUUGGGAGACCUUGAGAAAGAGGCCUUUCUUUCUUUUUUUUUUUUUUUUUUUUUUUUGAGACGGAGUCUUGCUCUGUCGCCCAGGCUGGAGUGCAGUGGUGCGAUUUCGGCUCACUGCAACCUCCGCCUCCCGGGUUGAAGCAAUUCUCCUGCCUCAACCCUCCCAAGUAGCUGGGAUUACAGGCACGCGCCACCACACCCAACUCAUUUUUUUUUGUAUUUUUAGUAGAGACGGUGUUUCACCACAUUGGUCAGGCUGGUCUCAAACUCCUGACCUCAUGAUCCACCCACCUCGGCCUCCCAAAGUGCUGAGAUUACAGGCAUGAGCCACUGCACCUGGCCUUUUUUUUUUUUUUUUGAGACGGAGUUUCGCUCUUGUCGCCCAGGCUGGAGUGCAAUGGCGCGAUCUCCACUCAAUGCAACCUCCGCCUCCUGGGUUCAAGUGAUUCUCCUGCCUCAGCCUCCCAAGUAGCUGGGAUUACAGGCGUGUACCACCACGCCUGGCUAAUUUUUGUAUUUUUAGUACAGAUGGGGUUUCACCAUGUUGGCCAGGCUGGUCUCGAACUCCUGACCUCAGGUGAUCUGCCCACCUCAGCCUCCCAAAGUGCUGGGAUUACAAGCGUGAGCCACUGUGCCCGGCCUCUUUUUUUUCUUUUCUUUUCUUUCUUUUUUUUUUUUUUUUUUUUGAAACGAGGUCAUGCAUGCAGGCUGGUCACAAACCAAAAAGGCCUUUUGACAAUUCAACUACCUCAACUCUGGGAUGGGCAUUUAUUAAUAACCCCCAACCCACCCAAGUCCUCCAAAUACCCUGCCAUCCAGGGGAAAACACAUAAACAUCAAUAAACUGCAUGUCCCCAAGGGAUGCUCUUUGCCCCAGGAUAGUCUGGCCUCUCGGGAGAUUUCUCUUACCUCCAGGGCUUUGUUUCACCAGAGAAGCCAGCCUGGAGGUAGAAGGGGAAGAUACUUAGCAGCAAAAUCUGCUGCCCUGUGCAGCCAGGCCAGGGGGGCAGUCAGGGGCUAUACAGGCUGAAAAGCUGUCCAGGACCCAGAGCUAUGUGACUCAUAAAGGCAGGCUGCCCACCCACUGAAGGUCUCCAAGUGGCAGUCCAGAUGGACAGUGAUCAGCUGUCACAUUGGACGGUUGGCCUCCUGUGAUGACAACACUGUGCCAAGGAGGCCUGGGUUGAAGCUUUGAGCACAUGUUAAUUGGCUUAGCUCUAUUCCACCACUGUAGAAUUUUUUAGUUCAAUUCAGCAAAUAUUCCCUGGGUUCCUGUUCUUUGCCAGGUAAUAGAGCUGGACACUGUGAAUGCAGAGAUGGAUAAAAUAUGUCCUUUAGCUGAUGGAGAGAAAAACAUGAGCAAAUAAAUGUCAUUUACUAUGAAAGAUACUAGAGUAUCUGGAAAGAACAGUGGAGACAGAGAAGGGAUGGAUGGCUGAAAGUGUGUGGUUAAAACAGUGCCCACCCAUCUUGCCCAGACACAAACCACUCAAAACCAAGACCCUGUUGGAGGAAGCAUUCCUGUGAGUUUAUUAGAGCAGGAUUUCCUGAAUUCUUCCUAGGAAUGUUAAAAGAUAAAAUUUGAAAAAAGGAUUCCAAGAGCAAAUAAGUUUGGGAAAUAGUGAGUUAAAGUUAGACAGGUUGCUUUCAUUGGUAGCUCAUGCUUAAGUGCAGAACUUCUCAAAGCCUUGAGUAUGCUGAGCACAUUGUGUGAUUACCCCAGGGGAGGAGAUGGUAUUGAGAAUUUUGACUUGGGAGCCUUUUUCCAGAGUUACCUCCUUGGACCUGGGACCCUCAUAUUCUUGGACCCUGGCACAGUGUCCUGUCUGGAGCUGAGAGUUUGCAGAGUGGCCUUCUAGUCCCAGCACUCCCACUGUGACUGAAACUGUUUGGCUUUGGGAAGUCUAACCUUCUCUGAUGUUGUUUCCUCAUUGUGUUAGGCAAUUUUUGCAUCUCUAUAAAGAAAUACUUGAGGCUGGGUAAUUUAUAAAGAAAAGAGGUUUCAUUGGCUCCUGGUUCUGCAAGCCAUAAAAGCAUGGCACUGGUAUCUGCUUGGCUUCUGGGGAGGCCUCAGGAAGCUUUUUUUUUUUUUUGAGACAGAGUCUCGUCGCUCUGUCGCCCAGCUGGAGUGCAGUAGUGCGAUCUCGGCUCACUGCAACCUCUGCCUCCCGGGUUCAUGCCAUUCUCCUGCCUCAGCCUCCUGAGUAGCUGGGACUACAGGUGCCCACCACCAUGCCCGGCUAAUUUUUUUGUAUUUUUUAAUAGAGACAGGGUUUCACCUUGUUAGCCAGGAUGGUCUUGAUCUCCUGACCUUGUAAUCCGCCUGCCUUGGCCUCCCAAAGUGCUGGGAUUACAGGCAUGAGCCACCACGCCUGGCCAAGAAGCUUCUAAUCAUGGCAGAAGGCAAAGCGGGGGUAGGCACAUCAGAUGGUGAUAGCAGGAGCAAGGGAGAGAGAGAGGGGCGAUGCCACACACCUUCAAACAACCAGAGCUCAUGUGACCUCACUCACUGUUAUGAGGACAGCACCAAACCAUGAGAGGUCUGCCCUCAUGACACAGAUACCUCCCAUCAGGUCCCACCUCCAGCAUUGGCAAUUACAUUUUUAACCUGAGAUUUAGGCAGGGACAAAUACCCAAACUAUAUCACUCAUCUAGAAAAGAAGGGAAGAGUGACAUCUGCCUAUCUUGCAGUAUUGUUGUGAAAUAAUAGAUGUGAAAGCACUUCAUACUCAUAAGGACUGGGAUUGUCAUUGCUGGGUUGUGACAAUCGCAGCUGUGAUCAAGUCUUCGAGGCUUUAGUUACUUGACUGCCUUGAGGUUGUGGCCUCUUGUUAUGCCUGGAAUUCUCCCUUCCUUCACUUCUUUACCCACCCCUUGAGAUACUUCUUAUAACCAUCCCCUAAGUUCAAUGUUGGUAGCCCUGAGACUUCUGUCCUUGGAUCCCUUCUCUUGAGACCAUUUAUCUCAGAGCUCCAUGUGUCAACAUUACCUGUCUUCUGAUAACCACCCAGUUUUCUGUCUCUAGCCUUUGCUUCUCCCUUAAGUUCUGGAUCCAAAUGUCCAACUUCUCCCCAGAUACCUUGAUGUAAUUAUCUCAAGCUGCAUACUAGUGCCUCAAACUGCUUGCCCUUCCCCACACACUGUGUUCCUUCAUAACUGGGUGUCAUCUUAAAAGUACUUCUGGUAAACUCCUGCUCAUCCUUCAGAACCCAACUUUAGUCUAGUCUCCUCUUGGCUGACUUCCUCCUGUGCGCUCCCAGAGAACUUUGUACCUACACCUAACAUGCCACUUCUCACACUGCCACUGUGGCCAUUGGUGUAGUUUUCAUUAAGUCAAGGACUGUGCUUUAUUUGCCUUUAAAUUCUCAUCCUUGAGCAGAGUGCAGGGCGGGCAGUAAGUCUAAUUGGAUGCAUAUACCUCAUUCUAGUCAUGCCCAUGCAGCAGAGGGGAGUUUCAUCUUUAAUGCCACAUCUGGCUUUACACUAGAGGCCUGAACCUGCCGGAUGCACAAUUUUGUUCUUUUCCCUGCUGGCUAGGAUUUGCAGGCACCCAGAAGCUGAAGACCCUCGGGGUCUCCAGAGGAGGUCACAUGUGCCUCUGGCCACAGCCACCCCUGGACUUUCAGCUGGCCAGUGCUCCCAGCUCCCAGCCCUUGGCUGGCAGAGGUGAGCAGGAGUCCCACCCACUCCUCCCCAGCUUAGCCGAGUCAUGUUGAUAUUCUGGCGGCAUAGUCAGGCUUGUUAUUGAGCACAUGCUUUGCAGAUUAGCCUGUUUGUAUAGCCAAUCGAACAUGUGCUCCAUUAAAAAUUAAAGCAUCCUGUUUUAAGGAUGGAGCAGGAGACAUCAGCUGCCACUGUGUAGCAGACAUGCAAAGCCCCAGAGCCCAUUACCAUAGGUUACAGCAAAUGUUAAUCAGUGCCAGUGCAGUUAAAUAAUGCAGUUUGUGCAGAUGGCAGCUACUACAUCUCCUCACAGAUGUGUCCUCAAGUCCCGGAGGCUGCUGUAUCACAGGAGUUGUCGGGAGCAGUCAGAUCUGAUGCUGACUGUCAAUAUCACCUUUUGUGUUUGUGUGCAUCCUCCAGCCAGCUGAGAGGCAACGAUAGGAUGACUCCAGGCCCUACUUCCAGCAGCCCUUCCAGAGCUGGAGCAGGGGGUCUGUGCAGGGCUCACAGGAGAGCAGAAAUAUUUCACUAAAUCGCCAAGAACACUCAGAGUAAAGCUCUGCAGUCUGCUCCAUGAAACUGUACCCAGCUGCAUCCUGCAAGAGGCUUCCCAGCCAGGUGGAGUGGGGAUGGCGUUCCCACCUUCACUCUUCACUGCUUUCUGCUUGCUGAUGGGCAAGAAUUCCACAAGUAUUCUUCCUGGCUUCCAUAAGCACAGGGACACCUCACUGUAUCAGAAGUUGGAGUUCUGACAGCACCUACUGUGCACAGGGCCUGAUUCUGAAUGGCAAAGUGCUGUUCCCGAAGCCCAGGCACUUGGCUCUCUGGUCCAGGUGUCCCUACCCUCCAGCCCCUGAACAGAUACUCUGCGUAAAAUUUAGGAACAAAUCGCCACUCAUGCUGCCAGCAGUAAGCAGCAACUGUUGUGGCAAGAAAAGACCAAACUGUUUCAACUGUCCCAGCUCUUCUCUCUCUCUGUGUACUUCCUUACUAGCAGCUGUGGGGGACCCUUCCAUGAAGGGGCACCUAGAGCACUGACAUCCACAUGUGGGCACCUGGGGGCAUUCCAUCUCAGCCACUGUCAGGAGCAGGCACAGUGACUGGUCCCCAUGAAGGUGGCCUGUUAUCAAGAGAAGAUGAAAUAAAGCUCGAGGUAACCAAGUGUGGGAAACUUGUAUGGAAGCAGGGGAGAUUGCUCUUGAUAUAGUUAAGUGUUUUACUUAAAGGUGUAAGCCUCAGCUUUCUGAAAAAUAUGCUACUGUAGAACAACUCAUUUCUGAAUAGCAUCAAAUAUGUGAGGUGAAAAUGUACUUAUGAGAAAAAUAGUUAAAAGUUUAUUCAUCCUAUUUCCUUUCUAGGUUGUCAGACUAUGUGCUAUUCUUCAUUCCUAGAUGGGAAACAUUGCAUCUUAUGAAUGUAACGUGUUGCUGUAGACAAAUAUUCUUGUGGAGUGAAGCCCAGGGACAAGGGUCUUUUGCUUUCCUUGCAAAAUGUAGAGACAUUAUUCCUGUUUCACCUUUGAAGGCCAUGCCAUCUGAUAGGCCAUGCCAUCUGAUAUGGUUUGGCUCUCACCUUGAAUCGCACCUUGAAUUGUAAUAAUCCCCAUACGUUGUGGGAGGGACCUGGUGGGAGGUAAUUGAAUCACAGGGGUGGGUCUUUCCUGUGCUGUUCUCGUGAUAGUGAAUAAGUCUCACGAGAUCUGAUGGUUUUAUAGAAGGGAGUCUCCCUGCACAUGCUCCCUCUUUGCCUGCCGCCAUGUAAGAUGUGCCUUUGCUCUUCCCUCAUCUUCUACCAUGAUUGUGAGGCCUCCCCAGCCAUGUGGAACUGUGAGUCCGUUAAAUCUCUUUUUCUUUAUAAAUUACCCAAUCUUGAGUGUAUCUUUAUUAGCAGCGUGAGAACAGACUAACACACCAUCUGAUCUGAUGGCUUCUACCCUUCCUUUCUUUCUUUUUUUUUUUUUCUGAGGCGGAGUCUUGCUCUGUCACCCAGGCUGGAGUGCAGUGGUGUGACCUCAGCUCACUGCAACUUCUGCCUCCCGGGUUCAAGCAAUUCUCCUGUCUCAGCCUCCCAAGUAGCUGGGACUACAGGCACACACCACCACACCCAGCUAAUUUUUGUAUUUUUAGUAGAUAUGGGGUUUCACCAUAUGGUCAGCCUGGUGUCAAACUCCUGACCUCAAGUGAUCCACCUGCCUUGGCCUUUCAAAGUGCUGGGAUUACAGGUGUGAGCCACCACUCCCAGCCAGCUUCUACUCUUUCUUUACUUCCCAGUCUCAACAUCAUUUGUGGAAGAUUUUAGCACCGACUCACUCCUUUCCUUCCAUUAAACUCAGCAAUGACAUGAGCAGCUCAUCUGAGCCCCAGGCCUCUGGAUUCCUAACCUCCUUACCUCCAGUGGUCUUUCCUUUAUCCACCUCUGCCCCCCAUUCCCAUUGUUAUGCCCUACGUCUUGUCACUACCUAUAAUGAUGUCAGUUUCAAAAUUGUGAUUUCCAAACCAUUAGCUGCAAAGAGUUCAAGGAACUGAGAGGCCAGGAUGCUCAAAACCCACCACUGGCUUCACACCACACUUAGAACAAAGGUCUUUCCCCUGCUGUGAGCCUGCCUACUGCUCUGACUUCGUCUCCCACUACUCUGCUCCAGUCACGCUGGCCUUUGGUCUGGCCUUCCAACAAGCUGAGCUAAUUUGCACCACAGAGAUUGGUUCCAUUGCCUGAAUGCUCUAUCCCGUUAUAUAGAUGGUCGCUUGGCUUGUUCUCUCACUUCAUUCAAAUGUCAUCUCCUUGGAGAGACUUCCCUGACUACCCUAUUAAAACAACAACAGUACAUCCCCCACCCCAAAUCACUCUAUCUACUUAUCCAGCUUUGCUCUUCUUCACAGCACUGAGCCAACAUUUAGACAGACACACCCACACAUCCAUAUACAUCUAUAUUCACUUACUUACUGCCUGUCUGCUCCAUUGAAGUGUUGGUGCCACAAGGACAGGGGUUUUGUCUGUCAUAUUCGCUGCUAUAUCUGAUGUGCCUCCAAUGGUCUUCCAUUGGAAAAUCAAUUGAAUGAAUGAAGGAAUAUGUUUGGGCUGGAAGCAAAUGUUGGAAAUGGAGUUUUAAAACAACAGGGUUAUUUUUUAAGCUUUCUAAUAAACUUUCUAUCAAAAGCAUUUUUCAAUUAUUAACACUUCAUAAAUGAACAAAUUUCAUCUUCUCAAAGUUACACUUAGGUGCCAACUAGAGAAAGCAGAAGAAUUCAUUUUCUUAAUAUUUUGUGAAAUCCAGGAUAGAUUAUUAUUUCAAGCUAUAAGGCUUCCAGCAUUAGCCUUGAAACCUCAUCUUUAUUUUGCUUCACUGCUAGGUGUCUCCUUUUUUGUUUUUCCUAGAACUUUUGUUUGACUUCUAAUUUUGUCCUCUGAUUGAGGACUGAAACAACGUGUAAUAAUCUCACACCAGGCAAAUAUAGUUGAAAUUUUUAGUGGAUUUGAUUACAUUCUUGAAAGUGGCAAAAUCAAGUAAAAGCAGAUAGAUCAGAAGAUUGAAAGCUUUGGCUUACAAUCAUUCUUUUUACUUUUUAGGAUGUAAAUCAUCGUAUUGGUCCUUUUUACUUUAGACAAAUAUGACCCCAUAAAGUUUUAAAAGUUUGUGUCUGUGAAAAAAAGCAAGAUGAAUUGUCUCUCACUUCCCUGGUUUGGAAGAGAAGUUCCAAAGCAGGGCUGAACUGUCAUCAUCAUCUAAUAAUUUUCCUUUAGUUUUCAUUUUUCCUUUCUAAAUCUUAGCAUGUGAGAUCACAGGCUCCCUCUCCAAACUCAUCAGUUGUCUCUUGUUUUACCAGUAAGAACUGAACCCCUCAUCUCAACCAGUCUGUCACCAAGGCACUUGCUCCAAAGACUCUGUACCAGUCGAGAUGCUUUUAGCUGCAAGUAAUAGAAUGCCUCAUCCAAAGUAGCCAUAGGGUAGCCAUAGGGCCAAGCACAGGGACUCACACUUGUAAUCCCAGCACUUUGGGAGGCUGUGGUGGGAUUGCUUGAGGCCAAGAGCUUGAGGCCAGUCUGGGCAGCAUAGCAAGAUCCUGUCUCUACAAAAAUUUUUUUUAAUUAGCCUGGCAUAGUGGCACGCACCUGUAGUCCCAGCUACUCAGGAAGCUGAGGUGGAAGGAUUGCUUGAGCCCAGGAGUUUGAGGCUGCAGUGAACUAUAAUCCACUGCAUUCCAGCCUGAGCAACAGUGAUGAGAUAGUCAGAGGUAACCAGAUGUGUAUUAGGCUGACUCCUAGGAAGCUUUACGUUAGGUUGAUAAGAUGGCUACAAGCAUGGUAUCUCCACACCAUAUACCCAAGGAGGGAAGGAAAAGGGCAGACCUACUCCUUAAUUGUGUCUUUCUUUUUAGCAGGAAGGAAAAUCCUUUCCGGGGGUCCUGCAGCAGAUUGCCCCUUACAGAUAAUAGCCAGAACUAGGUCACGUGUUGAUAAGGUUUAGAUACUUGUUCCCUUCAAAUCUUUUGUUGACAUUGCAUCUCCAGUGUUCGAGGUGGGCGCUGGGAGGUGUUUGGGUCACGGGGUGGAUCCCUCAUGAACGGCUUGGUGUCCUCCCUGUGGUAAUGAAUGAGUUCUCACUCUACUAGUUCACACAAAAGCUGCUUGUUUAAAAAAGCCUGGCACUUCUUCCCCUCUCACCACGUGCCCUGUUGACUACCCUUGCCUUCUGCCUCGAGUAAAACUCCCUGAAGCCCUCACCAGAAGCAGAUGCUGGCACCAUAAUUCUUGUACAAGCUGCAGAGCCAUGAGCCAAAUAAACCUCUUCUCUAUAAAUUAUCCACCCUCAGGUAUUCCUUUAUAGCAGCACAAAAUGGACAAAUACACAUGGGUGCCACAAACCAGUCACUAGCAAAUAUAGAUUAGACCACUUGGUUAUCUCCUGGCCUGGACACAUGUCACUUUCCUACCUGAACAAAGUUGAUGUUUUCUAAUAACAGAGAAUGAAGGAUGACAAGCUGCCAGGGUCGACAACUAACAAUGUCUGCUACAGCAGUACAACCCGUUACUCCUACUGAAAAAACUCACUCCAGGUGGAAUAGUAGCUUAUGUCAGGGUCUGUAUUGAUAGGCCAGUAGAUUAUAAAGUAUUUGGAAGUGAUCUUAGAAUCUCUGCUCAUUUAUGUCACCACUGUUUCAUUUACAUACCUCUAGGAUAGCACUUACCACGUGGCAUCAUGAUUCCAUGUCCACAGGUCUGACUGUUCCUACCAGAUUGUCACCAGGAACCCCUUAUUUCUUUGUGUCCAGAGUACCCAGGAUAAUACUUGGAACUUAAUAGAGGUAGAGGCUCAGUCGGUGUUUGCUGAACAAAUGAAUGAAUAAACUAACAACAAAUAAUGAAUAACAUAUUCCUGAAGCCAUGCGUUAUGAAGAACAGUUGGAAUAACUAUAGGUGUUUACCUGGGGAAUGAAUGAAUGAAUGGACAAAUGAAUAAGCAAAUGACAACUAAGAGAUUUUUGGAGCGGUGUCCAAUGAACUGUUGAAAUGACGAGAAAUGUUGACAUGGAGAAGAGAUUUGAGGAAUACAGUGACUUUUUGCAACGCAGGAUUUAAAAGCCUUUUAAGUGAAAGAGAGAUGAGACUUACUUUGUGGGAUCUUUAAGGGUAGAGCUAGGAAAAGUGGGCUGAAACUACAAGGAGACAGAAUUGUAAAACUAAAAUCUAAAAGUGGAGCUAUGUAAAGAUGGAAUAGACUGCCUCUGGAAAGAAUGAGCUCACUGUCACCAAGCAGAGAGUGGCUAGGCAUACUCUCAGGCAGUGGUAGGAUUUUAUCAUUGAAGAUUGGACUUAGAUAAGAAUGAUACUUAUUCCCUGGUAUAACUGGGGGUCCUCCCUCGUAGUGAGGGUAUUCUCUGAAAGUAUGAAAAAUUAAACUUUUACCACUUAAUGUUAACAUGAAGGAGGUAUGUGGUAGCCCUUUCCAAAGUACCAAGAGACUUUAUGAUGCUAUGAGACAUCUUGGAGUAAUCCCAUCUGUCUUUAUUAUUCCCAAUUACAUGUGCCAUUUCCCUGUUGAGCUCAUUUCUGAUAGAAGAAAUGUUUUUUAAAAGAAAACGAUGUUAAUAGAUGUCACUGGUUUUGUCUGUCUUAACGGAUUCUGUUUCUCACUUCAGGACAUUAUCCAGUUUAUACUUUAUUAAAAUUGGCCUCAUGCACCCUUGAGGUGAGUGGGUAGAGAAUGAGGAGAAGAGCCUCACUUCCCGGAGAUGGCGGAGAGGGAUUGGGCCCACCAGGUAUUCUUUCAAAUGGGCUGCCUUACUGCCCACCUGCAGGACUGAAAAUCAGAGAAAAGCGGUGGAAAUUGAGAAACUGUAGGACAUCAUUCACUCUCGUAAUUACAGUGAGGAAGUGUGCUGCAUAUGUAUGUUCCCUCAGUAAAACAGGUGUUCUGCCCUUAAAAUGCUAAUUAUAGACUAUUGCAGAUCAAUGAUCUUCACUUAUUUCAUAUUGCUGCUCCAUUUUUUCCACAUUUAACUACCCUGUGAUAUAGAAAGCUUGCUCACCCUUGAAAAAAUCAAAAUGCAUAUGGAUUUUCUGAAAUAAGCCCCUUUUCUGGAAGUAUUUUGUGGUUAGUUUCAAAAUGCAAUAUCCUGAGAAAGGUUUAAGUCGGCUUUUUAUUUUAAUAUAUAAUAAAAAAGUAAAAUCACUAGGCAAUGAGCAAUUUUACUUCCAUUAGCCUAAUGUCUUUGUGGUUUCAUCUGAGGUCACUAGUAGAUUAUUUUUCUUGCAUUAUUUCAUCAGCUGUCAGUUCUAUUACAAUCAUGUAAUUCAUUCAGUGCUGUGAUUUUUCAAAGACAUAACUGUAAGCUUAGAAGACAGUUUUUUGGAAGUUUAUUUAGAUGAUUGUAGGGUGUCAGACUGCCUCAAUCUUCUCCAUGCUCAGUGUCUGAAGGGUCACCAACAGAUUGUACAUGACCUUAGAUGCUCGAGUAAUUAUCACCACUAUGUUUUUAUACCCAGCACAUAAAAAUAUAUCUGCACUUUCUUUAUCAUCAUCUUUUGAAAGACUGUGGCCUGCCUAUGGGCUGGGCAAUUAGGUUUACUACUUAGAUUACAGGAUACAUGAUACAGCUCUUAUUUAACACCAACAAUAACUCUUUUUAAGGUGGUUUCAUUUCAAGCUUAGUCUAUUAAUAUAUUCACCAUUGGGCUUUGAUUACAAUAAUGCAGUUUAUUUAUGUUUGCAUAUAGUGGGUAUCAGUCAAGAAAUCAUUUGAAAAUCAUUCACUGAACACCAGCUACUCACAGCUUGUUAGUUUCUGGUGGUUAUAAAGGAAUUAGAAAUUCUCUGCUCUUGAACAUAUUAUUGUGAUCCAUCAAAGCCUCUAGCAAAGUAGUCAUUUAGUUUGGUUUUUGUGAGGUUUUUUUAGUACGAGGAUAAUUUUUAAAUAUUAAAAAAAUUAGGCCAGGCACGGUAGCUCACGCCUGUAAUCCCAGCACUUUGGGAGGCCGAGGCGGAUGGAUCACAAGGUCAGGAGUUCAAGACCAGCCUGGUCAAUAUGGUGAAACCCUGUCUCUACUAAAAAUACAAAAAUUAGCCGGGGGUGGUGGUGCUCGCCUGUAGUCCCAGCUACUCAGGAGGCUGAGGCAGAAGAAUCGCUUGAACCCGGGAGGGAGAGGUUGCAGUGAGCCGAGGUCGUGCCAGUGUACUCCAGCCUGGGCGAUAGAGUGAGACUCUGUCUCAAAAAAUAAAUAAAUAAAUAAAAAUUAGAACUCUACAUAGUAAUAGUUUACCUUUAUUAUCUUGUAAUUUUAAAAGUACAAAAUGCACAUUUAAGAUACAUGUGCAUAAAAUGAUAUGUCUGGGAUUUGUUUUAAAAUUAUCUGGAAAGGUGGGAGUAGUGGGAAUGGGUAGAUGAAAUAAGACUGGCCAUGAGUUGAUAAUUGUUGAAGCUGAGUGCUGGUAGGUAGCAGUUUAUUAUACAGUUCUCUCUACUUUUAUGGAAAUUGUUCAUUUAAAAAAAGGAAUAGAAGGUUACUAUGCACAGGGAGCAGUGGCUCAGGCCUGUAAUUUCAUACUUUGGGAGGCCAAGGUGAGAGGAUUGCUUGAGCCUAGGAAUUCAAGACCAGCCUGGGCAACAUAGGGAAACCCUGUCUCUACAAAAAAAUACAAAAAUUAGCCCAGUGUGGCAGUGCAUGCCUGUACUCCCAGCUGCUCAGGAAGCUAAGGCAGCAGGAUUGCCUGAGCACAGGAGGUUGAGGCUGCAGUGAGCCAGGGUUGUACCACUGUACUCCAUCCUGGGUGAUAGAGCGAGACACUGUCAAUCCAUCAAACAAUCAAUAACUAUGAAUUCAGCUUUGCUUUUAAAAAGAAAAUAUAUUUUAAUGAUCAUUGAAGCAUUUCCAUAUACUUGAAAAAUAUUAAUAAUUGUAUGAGAAUAGCAUAUAAUUUCCUGAGACUAUAGACAGAGCUUUGUGCUCAUGGACUCUGAACCCUUUGUUGUAACUAUUAGAAUACAAUAGACAAGCAAGUUCAAGGUAGCUUGAUACAUACUGUACACAAACACUGAGCACAUUCCAAGGGAUGUGAACCUUAACUACAGAAGCGUGUAUGGAGCUGCUUUAAUUUACUGUGACUGUGUUGCAUAGAAAAGGAAGACGACCGUGCUGCCACUUAAGUACUGAUAACAUUUAACACUGUGUGCAUAAGAUUGAGGCAGCUUGGAAGGUCCAGAAUAUGAAGCAAAGAAUCCGAUCCAUUCAGAAACCAAGAAACCUCCAAAUAAUAGCACUUUCACUCUAAUUCAGCCUCUGCCAAAUUUGCCUUUGGCCAAUUGUCACCAGUGCCAAAUUACCAACAGACUUCCUUUUCUGGUCUUAGUCAUGUUGACCUCUUCCUUCUGUCUCCUAGUCAAGCAGAAUUUAAAACAUUUACAUUGUAUUUCAAUUUCUAUGAAGAUGGGAGAGGAAAGGUGUAUUUCUUGUCUUUUGUCCCUGGCCAGCUUCUACUGGGAACUUAUUUCCUUGAAAUUCCUGUCCUGUAAAAGCAUGCAGAUGAAAGUAUCUUUAAUGUAUAAUUACAUUUUUAUAUGUGUAUAAUCUUAGAUUACAUGGGAAUUGAGUAUCUGGAAUGGAUCGGCCUUAGGAAAAUGUUUCUUUUUAAAAACUAUUAAAUAUUGGAACAUUAUACAAAAAAAUAGCAUUGAAAUAUUUAAUCUGUGGUUCAGGUCUGUUGUUCAUUUAAAGGUUUAACUGUUUCCCACUGUUUAAAUAUCUCUAUCUGAUCUUUCAUGCUAAGUUAGCAUGUCCAAAAUAUUGAAAAACAGAUGAAUGAUCAAGGAACUUAAGGAAUACUCCUCCAGUGAAGCCAGAAGGAUAUUCUUGAGGAGAAAAAAAGAAUGCAUGAAACUUAUUUAACAAGAAAGAUUUGAGUCAGGUAAUCUACAUAAUAUAUCCACUGGCAUUAAGGCUGUCAUCUUGGUAUUGCAUUUCUGGUACGAAUUUCGCAAUAGCUGUCUUUCACUGUCGGUUCUAAUAAAGAGUGUUGGUCAGCUUAAAUUCCCUGGGAGCUCAGAGUUAUGUUUUGUGAACUGCAUGUGCCUGAGGCCUCUCAUGCAUGAUUUAAACUGCUUUGUAAAUGUCAAUAGGUGGAAAAGCAUUGGAUCCCUUGUAGAUUUCUCCAAAUCCUCAAAGAUGUGUAUGCCAUGUAUAAACCAUGCUGCACUCUCAAGGCCAUUGCCGUUUUUUAUACUUGCCUAACUGGGGGUUUAAGGUAUUGCUAGAAGCAAAAUAUCAGUGUGUUCAUGUCUCGAUCCAACUGGCCAAUGAAACCCUUUAUUAGGAAAACCUUUGCACCAGAGAAAUGUCUCCAGUGACCUGAAAUGGGCACACCUCAUGAAUGUUGAAUGUUCUUCAAACUCUAUUUCUUCAUUCUUGACUUUUUUCAAAACAUACAUUUGACUUGAUUGAAUUUACUGAUUUCAGAGUACUGCAUCCAUUCCAUGGACAGCAGUAUGGGGUCAUCAAAAAAAAUUUCCAUUGAGAGUGCCCAGACCUGGGUCCUAUCCUGGUUCUGCCACUCUCUGGCUCUUUGUCCUUGGGCAAGCCACUUAACCUUUUGGGGGCCCUGCUUUUCUGAUCCAUUAAAUAAAGGAGGUUGAAUUAAAUGAUCUCUAGUUAUCCCUCACAGCUCCAGCAUCAGUGAUUCCAAGAGAUAGUGACAGAAAACCAGUGUGUCACUUUUAAAGCCAGGGAACACAUGUGACUUUUUAAUUGGGCUCAUUCCACUCUCUGGGCAGUACACAGUGCCGGCAGAAGCCCCAAAAUGGCCAGCAGCAAUGGCGUAGGGAGGCCUGAGUGUUAGCUUGAGGGUUCAUCAACUCAUUUUCGUUCAAAGCACUUCCUGGUGAUUGUUUUCCAUGGACCUGGGAACUGCACUAAGGGCGCUCCUCCCACAGUGUGCCCUGACCCCCCAGGUGUGUUCUUUAGGUAAAGCUGUUUUUUAAUGUCUGAAGAGGCCAAAGCAAAUGCCAGUGAGGGUAUAGCUCUCUAGGAUCUCCAGAAUAGAGGCACCAUAUGAGCAACAACACUAGACUGGGUUUCUCAGAGUCUGUUUCUCACACACUUUAGUACCUCUCAGCUUAACAUGGUACCUGGAGAUAGAGGUGCUUAGGAAAUGUAUGCUUAGCAAAUGUUGCAGAAAGAGUUUAUUCGGAGUCAUAGAGCCAUCGGAGCAGAUGGUCUUUUUUGUUUUCUUCUUCAUGUUUUGACUCCUACAUAGUUCAGAAUAAGUCACUUUGGUCUUUUCUUUGCACAUGUUCACUUUCUAAUAUAGUGUCUUCUUGGGGAGACUGUUUUAUGGGGAAUAUGUGAGUUCAUGUGUUAGCUGUGGAGCCAGCCUGCCUGAAUUUGAAUCCUGACUUUUCCUCUAACUGUGUGACCUUGAGCAGUUUCCUUAACCAUUCUGUAUCUCAGGUUUUAAUCUGUAAAAUAAGGAUAACGGGAGUACCUAGCUCUUCAGAUUGUGAGGAUUGAAUGGGAUAUACACAUAAAGCUCUCAAUGCCUGGUGUGUUAAAGUGUUCGCAGUUGUUACUUUUUUAAAUGUUUUUACUACUUUUGAAAUUUAGUGUUCAAGGUGAACUUUUUACAGAAGAGCCAGGGCAAUUGGAUGCACUUUGGGGGAAAAAAAAAUCACUUGCCUCAUCCCCAUCUUCUCCAUCGCAGUGAGGACUGUUCUCAAGUGGGCACACAGGACACCUGUCUCCUUCAUCUGCAAGGCCCCAGUGGCUGUGCUGGGGUUUGAGGUCUCUCGUUCAGACCAGGUAUGUGAGGGCUUGGUUAUCAUGCACUGCUCCUGAAUCCACCAUCUCCAUGUCCACAUCCUUGGCAGGGAGACCAGAGCCAACUGGGAACUCUGCCACCUGGAGAGACCUUUGAAACACUGUCGCCACCAGUGUUCCAUUUGUGUGUUUGCAGAAUGCCAAGUAAGCACAUUCUUUUUCACCCUCUGACAUGACCUCAGGGUUACUUUCUGUGGCUGUUGACAAAUUUUUAGACAUCCCAGUUUUAUCAGCGGAAACCUUGAAGAGUGACAAAUGGUUCUUGGAAGAGUUGGUACAUACUAUAAAAAUGUCAGCUGGCUCAUUUAUAACCCAGUGAUGUCCAGUGUCUGAGCCGUGCUAUCAGCAUGGUCUAUAGAUAACUCACCCUCACGAUGCUCCGCUCUCCCCAAGUACUUUGUGCAGCUGUUCUGGUUGAAGACCCAGUUGACAUCUAUAAUAGAUAUCAAAUGGAGAGCCUCUUAUUUUAUCACUCUCUGUGUUUCAGCACUGGCGGUCCCCAUGGACUGUCAGAAACAGGCAGCCAGCACGUUAUGGGAAAGGUGACUUGCUGAGUCCCUGUGCCCUGAGGACAUUAUUAAGUGCUAGGGAACCUUGUUAGCUCAUAAAGUUGGUUCAAACCAAUUAUUGUUCUGCGACCAUUACCAUUGCCAAGAAUGUAACUCUUUUAAAUUCUUGCCCAUAAAGCCGAUCUUUCCAUUACAUUAUAUCAUAGAGCAAGACUUCUGAUCUGGCCGCACUUGUAUCCCACCGGCUGCAAAGACUAAACAUUGCAUUUGCUGCUCAAUAUUGGUUACCCUUCAGUGCUUCAUGGAGGCAGCAAGACUGCUAUUUAUAGAUUUACUUUCUGUCUCCCUAGUUCAGCACAGUCAGUUUUGACACACUGUCCCAGUAAUCUGAUCAGCCAUGCUGCUUUUAAAUGAAGGUCUAGGCCUUGGCCUCUGCAGAGAGGGUGACAGCUGUCAGAUACAGAUAGUAGGCUACAGAUCCUGGCUGCUAAAACCCUCUCAUUCAUUCCUGUUACAGAUCAUUGACCACAGCUUGAAGCCAUGCUUUACAGUUGGCCGAUUAGUUGGCAAGAGAUCUACAUACUGUAUUAGCAAGGUCAACCACUGAGAUAAAGGCAAAAACGUAAACCCCUGCACUAUUUUUAAACCAGUAGCCAUUUGUUAAAGCUGGUUAUUUUGGUACUUGUCUCCGUUCCCCUCUUUUUUUUUUCUCCCAAAACAAAACUCAAGAAACUUGUUAAAACUCUUCGGCAGCUAACGAAGAUGCCUCAGAUAAUGAGAUGGUUCAAACCUGAGAAGGAAAGAUGAGGUCUUUCUCAGAAACUCAUUUAGGAACCUCGGAUAGGAAGCCGUGUUAGCUGUGCUUAUACCUUGUUUUAAUCAGAACGUGUCUGGAAAUCUUAGUCCAGGGAGACCUGGAUGAAAGUGCAGCCAGUUUGAGUGCUCUGGCCAUGACAGUAGGUUAGGCAGGUCUGGCCUAGAAAGAGGUAAGUUAUGAUUCAUACAAGUUUAAAUCCUCGCUCACUCCUGAAUGAGGUGGUUGGGCUUGGUUGUCAGCUCAGAUGAUUGGACCCAUUUUGUAGGUGUUUCCUUCUCCAGAGUCCUUCCUUCCCCCAGCAUCUUGUCUGUAGGUAUUCUAAAGCCAGGCAUUAUUCAACACACUAUAUUGGACUUGUGUAAAGAGAACUUGCACCCUGGGAAACCUUGUGUUAAAGUGAUUAAUUGACUUCUUCAUAUUCAGUGAAGAUCCUUGCUGUUUCAGAAUCGACACAAACGACCAAACCUUCAAUCUCAUCUUUACUCAGAAAGGGGUCCACCUAUAAGAUUUUGAACUCUCCUUCACCAUCUGACCAGCCUCCUCUCUGCUUUCACCUCUCCUAUGCCUUCACUCCCACUGAACGUUCCUUUAACUUCAUGACAGCCACCUUCCCCUUUACCCUUCUCUGUGUCCUGCUAAGACUAUGUGGACCCAGCUGGGGUUCCCAUUCUUUUUCCAGGUUAUACUCUCUAUGGUCUCUAUUUUGUGUCCUCCUCCCUCUCUUCUGUGACCUUACUGCAUCUUCCUGUUGCAUUCCCAUCUCCCAUCUGAUCUCUUGUCUUUCACUCUCUACCUCUUGUUGACUUAUGACCAAGCACAGUUUCCUUAGUGUACAGGGGCACCCAAGGCCCUUGACAAUAUGUCUGUCCACCAUCUUGUAGUCUUGCCUCCUGCUUUGUUUCUUCUCCACCUCUCUAAGGCCCCAUGCACACAUUUGCUGAACACACCCUGCCCUGUCAAGCUUCUUUGGCUGCCUUUGCUAUUCCUCCACCACGUAGGUCCUUUAGAAUGGCAAGCCUUACAAUGUAUAGUAUAUUUAGUAUACAUACCCAGUAAAUAUUUGUAGGACGAGUGCAUGAAUAAAAGCACAAUGUUUGACAUUGUUAUCAGCAUUGACCCAAACCCUUUGAGCUAGAUGAGCAAUAAAGAUUAGAAGAAAGAGGUUAGGUAUAACCACAAACAAACUUGAGAUUGAAGGCUCGCUAGAAGUAGAACUUUGGGUGGAUUUCUCUCUGUGACUUGAUUUUCUUGCCUAUAAAGUGAGGUAAGUGAUAUCUGCUUUAUAGGUUGUUGGGAGGAUCAAAGAAGAAAAAAGGGAAGUAAAGUGCCUAACACAGUGUCUGGCAAAUGGAAGGAACUUGAUAGAUGUUAAUUACCUAGCUGUGCCAUAUAACUCCCACCCCAUCUUCAGUGUUCUGUGAAAUGUAUUUUCAUUUUACCCUUGGAAAGGUACAGGACAGGAUGGAAGACCAGUUUGAUGGGAGAGAAGGCUGGGAGUUACAUAAACCCCCAUGGUUUUCUGACUUUUCACUAGAGUCAAUAAGGAGAUGUUUAAACAGACUUUGGCCCACAAAAGGUGACUCACUCUCACAUUCUCAGCUUCCUGCUCAGGGAAUCAGUGUGGAAACUGGGCUUCCACUUCUCAGCUUCAAACUGGAGCUGGGAAACUUUCGCCUCUGUGGAGGAGCCUUGGGGAAAUCUCAGCCCAGCUGCCAUGAGGUGUGCAAGGGGAGGACGUGUCAGCCCUGGAAACUCCACAGGCCUCUGUUCCAGAUGCACAGGGCAGUCACGUCUUUGCAGGGGUGAAGCAGGAGGACACCCUCCCUCCUGUUCUGUUCUAGCAGCCAUCAUGAGAAUGCUUCACUGGUCCCCGGAGGUGGCCACAGACGCAGUGGAUUUAAUGAGCUGGGAACGUCAAUGCUGCCAAAGUUUACCUCGACCUGUCUUUCUGAAGAACUCCUCUAUUUAGGCCCACUCAAGCAAAGGAGAAAGGCACCACGCUGUUUUCUCCCUUUCAACUCCAAAGAAGGGGAUAAUGCACUUUUUGUGCCAUGCAUCCAGAGGAAUUAUGUGUGCUAAUUUGAUUAGGGGAGAUUUGAUUAACUGGAAAAUGAGGGCUUUGCUAAGACUUUCACACGCUUAAUUUAUCCCUUGCAAAGCAGACGCAACAUUGUGUCAUGAAACUCAGAAGGCAUAUGGGAACAGUAUUCAGUGGUUAGACGGCCUUUCAGACCCAACAAUAUCAAGGAUUGCCACGGUUCAUAUUGGGAUAAUCAUUUUAGAGCAUUCGCUUUGCUGCAGAAUACAAAUUGGGUUUGGCAUUGCCAGUUAAACGGUUCAAAGGAUAAUGAGAUUAAUAUAGUAGGAAACUUAGCUGAGCAAAAAGCUUUUUUUUUUUUUUAACACCAUUGCAUAACUAGUUUUAAGGGGAACUUAGUUGAAAAAUGCUUGGUUUUCUCCAAAGAAUGCAUUAAUUAUGUUUUGUGGUUCCAUACACUCCUGGUCUUUCUUGCUAAAUAAACAUAUCGUGCAUCA